CAAAAGGGCUGUGAGGGGCGUGCCCGUCUGCUGGUUUCCCUGGCAACUAAUGAGCCAACCUGACAUCAAUUCCCCCUAUAAAUGGCAAUCUCCCCUUCUGCCACCAUUUCCAGCUUGCUGCCGUCUGCUACGUGUGGUAGAAGGUGACUCCAGGACCUUGCUUGAGAUUGCCCCUCCACAUACCUGACUCCAGGGAUAUCACAGAAGGGGGGGGGGCCAAGGUUAUAAAGUCAUGCAGGAUUGAUUCUCCUCCUCAUGCAGUGGUUGGAAGAAUGAGGGGCAGCUGUGGUCCCCUUAGUGAGCCCUGAGUCCAGCCACUUAGGCCUC